rnacentral:RNase_P_RNA from 1 species
UCAGCAGGCCACCUUAUCGCUGCCAAGUAAUUGGGAGAGGAAAGUCCGGACACCAUAGUGCAGUAUAGCGGGUAACGCCCGUCCGCUGAGAAGUGAGGACAAGUGCAACAGAAAGCAAGUACAGUUCGGCUGUAGUGAAACCAGGUAAACUCUAUACGGUGAAACGUCAUGUAAAUCGGUGAUUGAGGGCUGCACGCCUAAGCCGAAGGGUAGGCGGUUAGAGCUCUGGGGUAACCCUUUGCCUAGAUAAAUGAUAAGGAAUUCUGAUUUUUCAGAAUACAGAAUCCGGCUUAUGGCCUGCUUUUUUU